CAACGGCAACCAUUCUCGGUCAAGCUAGUGAGAGUUUGACAAACAGAAAAGCGACAGUGCCUUCAGAAUAAACGCACCGCCGCUGCUCAACGAGUCUUCCGCCAAUGAGCCAUUUACUUUGAAUGUAGCGACCGGGGCUUGUAUGUGUAACUGGAAAGUUUGACCCUGUUUGAGCCACAGUGAAUAGAUCCAUAACGCUUGGCUGAAUAUAAGACAGAAACGUAAGCUAACGCUACAUGUUCGGGAUACUUAAAACACAGGAGGAACCGUGCAGUUAAACAUAUGGAUCCCAACCGGAUAAUCCAGGCUCUGAAAGGGACAAUCGACCCUAACCUGAGGAUAGCGGCGGAGAAUGAACUCAAUCAGUCAUUCAAGAUCAUCAACUUUGCCCCGACCCUGCUUCAAAUCAUUGUGUCUGAGCAAGUGGAGUUUCCUGUUCGCCAGGCAGCUGCCAUCUACUUGAAGAACAUGGUGAGUCAGUACUGGCAGGACAGGGAGCCAUCUCUGGGCGAGGUAGUCUUUCCAUUCAACAUCCAUGAGAAUGACCGGCAGCAGAUCAGAGACCACAUAGUGGAGGGCAUCAUCCGCUGUCCAGAGUCCAUACGUGCCCAGCUAACCAUGUGUCUGAGAGCCAUCAUCAAGCAUGACUUCCCUGGCCGCUGGACCACCAUAGUGGACAAGAUCGGCAUGUAUCUGCAGUCUCACAACAGCGGCAGCUGGUACGGCAGCCUGCUGGCUCUUUAUCAGCUGGUCAAAACAUAUGAGUACAAAAAGGCAGAUGAGAGGGAACCGUUGCUGGCAGCCAUGCAGAUCUUUCUGCCAAGGAUUCAGCAGCUCAUCAGCCAGCUGCUGGCGGAUGCCACCAUCUUCUCUGUCCUUAUCCAGAAACAGAUCCUCAAGAUCUUCCACGCUCUUGUACAGUACUCGCUGCCCUUACAGCUGAUCAACAACACAGUGAUGACUCAGUGGAUGGAAAUCUUCCGAACCAUAAUGGACCGAGACGUCCCAGCUGAGACGUUGGAGGUGGAUGAGGACGACCGUCCAGAACUGGCAUGGUGGAAGUGUAAGAAGUGGGCGUUACGCAUCAUCACCAGAAUGUUUGAACGGUAUGGAAGCCCAGGCAAUGUGACAAAGGAGUACUACGAGUUUGCAGACUUUUUCCUGAAGACAUAUGCAAUGGGCAUACAGCAGGUCCUGCUAAAGGUGGUGGACCAGUACCGACAGAAGCAGUAUGUUACUCCUCGCGUCCUGCAGCAGUGCCUCAACUACCUCAACCAGGGCCUGUCACACUCACUAACCUGGAAACAGAUGAAGCCACAUAUGCAGACCAUAUGCCAGGAAGUCAUAUUCCCUCUCAUGUGUUACAAAGAUGAGGAUGAAAAGCUCUGGCAGGAAGACCCUUAUGAGUACAUCCGGAUGAAGUUCAGUGAGUACUCCGACCUUUAUGAUGACCACACCCUACCUGCCACUGCUGCCCAGAGUGUCUUGUGUAAAGCUGCCCGCAAGAGGAAGGAGGUUCUCCCUCAGAUGAUGGAGUUUUGCCACCAGAUACUGAUGGACCCCUCUGCUGACCCUCGAAAGAAGGACGGUGCACUACACUGCAUUGGAGCUCUGGCUGAGCUCUUACUGAAGAAGCGGAUGUACAGGGAGCAGAUGGAGCUGAUGCUGCAAAACUAUGUCUUCCCUCUGCUUAACUCUCCUGUUGGUUACCUGCGAGCCAGGUCUUGCUGGGUGCUACACUGCUUCAGCCCACUGCGUUUCCAUGAUGAGCUAGUGCUGAGGAACGCUGUGGAAUUGGUCAAACAGGAUCUGAUUGACGACAAAGAGAUGCCUGUCAAGGUGGAAGCCGCCAUAGCUCUGCAGACGCUGGUCAGCAACCAGGAACAAGCCAAACUGUACAUCAGGCCCUACAUCCGGCCAGUCAUGCAGGAGCUGCUGCAUGUGGUGAAAGAAACGGAAAAUGAUGACCUGACCAACGUCAUUCAGAAGAUGAUCUGCGAGUACAACCAGGAGGUGGCUGUUAUUGCUGUUGACAUGACGCAGAACUUGGCAGAAAUUUUCACCAGGGUCCUUCAGAGUGAGGAGUACGAGGAGAAUGAGGACAAGACCGUCAUGGCCCUGGGCAUUCUCAGCACCAUUGACACGAUCCUCACCGUCAUGGAGGACCACAAGGAGAUCACUCAACAGUUGGAGGGGAUCUGUUUGCAGGUGAUCGGUCUGGUCUUGCAGAAGCCCAUCAUAGGUAUGGCAGAGUUCUAUGAGGAGAUCUUGUCACUGGCAUUCGGCCUCACCUGUCAGACCAUCUCCCCCCAGAUGUGGCAGCUUCUAGGUGUCUUGUACGAGGUCUUCCAGCACGACUGCUUCAACUACUUUACAGAUAUGAUGCCUCUUUUGCACAACUAUAUUACUGUGGAUACAGACAUGCUCCUGUCCAACCCUAAGCACUUAGAGGUCAUCUACAGCAUGUGCAAAAAGGUGCUGACUGUGGAUGCAGGUGAGGAUGCAGAGUGUCACGCUGCCAAACUGUUGGAGGUCGUCAUCUUGCAGUGCAGGGGUAGAGGCAUUGACCAGUGCAUCCCUUUGUUUGUGGAGGCAGUUCUGGAGCGUUUGAUGCGGGGGGUGAAGUCCAGUGAGCUGAGGACUAUGUGCCUGCAGGUGGCCAUUGCUGCUCUGUACUACAACCCAGCCCUGCUCAUCCACACUCUGGACAACAUGCACUUCCAACACAGCCCUCAGCCCAUCACUGCCCACUUCAUCAACCAAUGGAUGAACGACACAGAGUUCUUCCUGGGGCUCCAUGACCGUAAAAUGUGCAUCAUUGGCCUGAGCGUGCUGAUGGAGCUGCCCAACCGGCCAGCAGUGUUAGAGGGAGUCGCCGCUCAGAUUGUUCCCUCCAUCCUGCUCCUAUUCCUGGGCCUCAAACACCUCUAUGCUUCCCGCCUUAUCAACAAACCAGACCUACUCACCCAUGCAGGGGCACAGGAUGAAGACCACAAUGAGGAGAUUCCCAGUGAUGAAGAUGAGGUGAACGAGAACCAUAACGCCAUGCAGCAGCAGUCCAGCAUGCCCACGGGCCAGGCAGGUGAGGAUGAUGAUGAGGAUGAAGAUGAUUACUGGGAUGAUGACGGCUUAGAGGGAACACCCCUUGAGGAGUACAGCACGCCUUUAGAUUACGACAACGGAGAAGACGAGUAUCGCUUCUUCACCUCGGUCCUGCUCCGGGUCCAGAACAGUGAUGCAGCCUGGUACCAGAGUUUGACAGCUCCGCUCAGCGACGACCAGAAGAAACAGCUGCAGGAGAUCUACAGCAUCUCACAGCAGAGAGGGAGCACAGCCACCAAGGGCCAGUGAGCGCUGAGGAGACAUGACGGACUGCAGAAUCAAAUAAGGGGCACGAAGAAGAGAGGAGCUGGUCUGACCUGACCUGAAGCGGAUUUCAUUCUAAUCUGAAUGAUCUCAGUCCAGAUCAGACCAUAUCAGACUAACUGGAUCCCACCAGGUCCCCUAGGUGCCAUCAUCAUUUGGGACAUGGUGCACUGUAAAGAGAGCCCCUACUGGAAUUUCCCUAUCUCCAGGACAGGACCGCUGGCCUGUGUGUGUGUGUGUGUGUGUGUGUGUGUGUGUGUGUGUGUGUGUGUGGACUCCAGAGAAAGGUCUGCAUUAUAGAUAUAAAUGUCCUUGACCAGCAAAAUAAGUUUAAGUUCUUGUACAGUGCAGUCCUUUGAUGUUUGAUAAGUAACUGUGUGUGUGCGCGCGUGUGUGUCUGAGAAGCUGUAAGAAAUAAAAAAGACAUCAGUGUGAGUUUAUACGUACUGUAAGCACUUGUCUUUGUCUCUCUGUAGUUGAAUACUUUUCUAUCAUCUCAUGAGGCAAAGGCCUAAAAUGAGCAAGAAGAGCCCAAUUUCUGUCAGGGUGCCUUGUAUACACAAUGCAGAUGAACAAGAAGGUCAAAGAUCAAAGACUUGAGGCCUCCAGGCAAUGACUGCCUGACGUCUGGAAUCCAUGGACAUCACCAAACGCUGGGUUUCCCCCUUUGUGAUGCUUUGCCAGGCCUUUACUGCAGCUGUCUUCAGUUGUUGCUUGUUUGUGGGUCUUUCUGCCGUAAGUUUUGUCUUAAGCAAGUGAAAUGCAUGCUUGAUGGGUUGAGAUCUGGGGCCUCAUGUACAAAGGGUGCGUAUGCACAAAAACGUGGCAUACGUCCUUUUCCACGGCAAAGUUCAGAUGUAUCAAGAGUGAAAUGACCGUGGAAACGUGCGGUGCCUCACGCCAACUUCAUGGCUGGCGUACGCACGUUUCUACAGCUGUUGAUCCUUUGGCAACACCUAGAGGUGAUGCUGGGAAACUUAUAAUAAAUAAAUGUGAAAACAAUUAGUCCUCAGCCAUCACAGGAUGAAUUUGUUUAUGUCAACAGGAAGCAUUUUCAUUCGAUCAAUGUACAGAUCAUAUGUGAUGCGCAAAUGCAAUUAACCAACAUUGUGGCGAGGUGGCCUGGUUCAACGCAUGAUUCAUUCAUUCUGAGUAACAGCAUGGUUGGGAACAGACUACAAGCUGGCACUGUGCGUGAUGGGUGGCUUCUUGGUGAGUAAAUAAUUUAUUUGUUUAAUUGUCCUAAUAUUAAUCCCCCUGAUGCGCAUUGAGCAUGUGCGCCCCCAAAUAUAAUCCUGUCUUUACAGCAUCAGUGCCAGUAAGUGGUUAAAGUUAGUGACUUACUGUUUUUUGCUGGUCAAACUACAGCUUCAGAGCUUUCUAACAAGCCCCUGAUUGUUUCUGUGUGUAAAGUACUCAUGUCAAUAAACCCGUGCAUAAUGUGUGAAAUUUCUUAA